UGCCUGCGAAUCCAGAUGUAGAACUCUCAGCUAACCUCUCCAGCACCGUGUAUGUCAGCAUGCUGCCAUGCUUCCCACCCUGAUGACAAUGGAAUGAACCUCUAAACUCUGCACAAUGGGUGCACAGUUAAGAGUCUUCGAAUGGCCACAGUGAAAACUUCUACCCUGCACUUUGAAACUACUAAUCGCAUAUAUAGGAUCUCUGCUGCAAAACAAGACAAGAGAAAUAAAACAGAAAGUGCACACAAA